rnacentral:rRNA from 1 species
CUUGAACGCUGGCGGCAGGCCUAACACAUGCAAGUCGUGCGGUAGCACAAAGGAGCUUGCUCCUUGGGUGACGAGCGGCGGACGGGUGAGUAAUGUCUGGGAAACUGCCUGAUGGAGGGGGAUAACUACUGGAAACGGUAGCUAAUACAGCAUAACGUCGCAAGACCAAAGAGGGGGACCUUCGGGCCUCUUGCCAUCGGAUGUGCCCAGAGGGGAUUAGCUAGUAGGUGAGGUAAAGGCUCACCUAGGGGCCGAUCCCUAGCUGGUCUGAGAGGCCGAUCGACCACACUGGAACUGGAACCCGGUCCGGACUCCUACGGGAGGCAGAAGGGGGGAAUAUUGCACGAUGGGAGCAAGCCUGAUGCAGCCAUGCCGCGUGUGUGAAGAAGGCCUUCGGGUUGUAAAGCCCUUUCAGCGGGGAGGAAGGGAGCAGGCUUAAUACGUCUGUUCAUUGACGUUACCCGCAGAAGAAGCACCGGCUAACUCCGUGCCAGCCGCCGCCGUAAUAC